rnacentral:rRNA from 1 species
UGAUCCUACGGGAGGCAGCAGUGGGGAAUAUUGCACAAUGGGGGAAACCCUGAUGCAGCGACGCCGCGUGAGUGAAGAAGUAUUUCGGUAUGUAAAGCUCUGUCAGCAGGGAAGAAAAUGACGGUACCUGACCAAGAAGCCCCGGCUAACUACGUGCCAGCAGCCGCGGUAAUACGUAGGGUGCAAGCGUUGUCCGGAAUUACUGGGUGUAAAGGGAGCGCAGGCGGAUUGACAAGUUGGGAGUGAAAACUACGGGCUCAACCCGUAACCUGCUUUCAAAACUGUCAGUCUUGAGUGGUGUAGAG